rnacentral:siRNA from 1 species
UGGUGAAUUCCACAAAGCCUAG